UUGAUUUUCCUCAAGAUUUCUCAUAAGUCAUAAUACUCCCUUUGAUUAUUAUUUUUUAGGAGAAAUGAAAUACCACCUUGUCAUUUAGAGAUCCUAGGACCUUUUCACUCUUCUGUAGAAGAAAAUUCUUCCACAAGGAUUUUUUUCUUUUCUUAUCUUAGUUUUUUGAGUGGUGGUAGAUUCUAAAUUAUGGAGCAUUUUUCUCAAUUUCUUCACGUUCUCCAUUGCCUCUCUUGUAGCUUUGUCUAAAUCAAAAAAGUAAAG
rnacentral:lncRNA from 1 species